rnacentral:rRNA from 1 species
CCUACGGGCGGCAGCAGUGGGGAAUAUUGCACAAUGGGCGCAAGCCUGAUGCAGCCAUGCCGCGUGUGUGAAGAAGGCCUUCGGGUUGUAAAGCACUUUCAGCGGGGAGGAAGGCGGUGAGGUUAAUAACCUCAUCGAUUGACGUUACCCGCAGAAGAAGCACCGGCUAACUCCGUGCCAGCAGCCGCGGUAAUACGGAGGGUGCAAGCGUUAAUCGGCCUUACUGGGCGUAAAGCGCACGCAGGCGGUCUGUCAAGUCGGAUGUGAAAUCCCCGGGCUCAACCUGGGAACUGCAUUCGAAACUGGCAGGCUAGAGUCUUGUAGAGGGGGGUAGAAUUCCAGGUGUAGCGGUGAAAUGCGUAGAGAUCUGGAGGAAUACCGGUGGCGAAGGCGGCCCCCUGGACAAAGACUGACGCUCAGGUGCGAAAGCGUGGGGAACAAACAGGAUUAGAUACCCUUGUAGUC